rnacentral:rRNA from 1 species
GAUGAACGCUGGCGGCGUGCCUAAUACAUGCAAGUCGAACGCUGGAGAUCUAGCUUGCUAGAUCGAAGGAGUGGCGAACGGGUGAGUAAUACAUAAGCAACCUACCCACGAAGACUGGGAUAAUCUCUGGAAACUGGGACUAAUACCGGAUAGGUAAUCGGAAGGCAUCUUCUGGUUAUUAAAGGUUAAAAACACUGGUGGAUGGGCUUAUGGCGCAUUAGUUAGUUGGUGAGGUAACGGCCCACCAAGACGAUGAUGCGUAGCCGGCCUGAGAGGGUGAACGGCCACAUUGGGACUGAGACACGGCCCAGACUCCUACGGGAGGCAGCAGUAGGGAAUUUUCAGCAAUGGGGGCAACCCUGACCGAGCAACGCCGCGUGAGUGAAGACGGCCUUCGGGUUGUAAAGCUCUGUUGUAAGGGAAGAACGGUAGAUAGAGAAUAUCUAAGUGACGGUACCUUACCAGAAAGCCACGGCUAACUACGUG